GAUAACUUUUGCAAAUAUCAAGAAAUAUAGAAAUGUUCCUCACCUGAAGGAUAAAUUAAAAAUUUUCCAUGGAAAACCUACUUAUUGUCUCAUUCUAAAUCACCUUCCAGCUUUAUUUGCUUGGCUGAGGUUUUGACGUGCAGCAGCCAUAUGUGACCAUUAGCAUGUAGCAUCCGUGGGCCGGUUGUUCAAAAGUGGAUUAGCGCUAACCCUAGAUAAAAUUAUAUAUUUCUGCACGUUUGUUUAUUUCAAAACUUCAGAGAAGUAAUAAGAAAUAUCUCCAAAUUUAAUUAUAGACAAGCUGUCAGGAAAUUUGCUUUGAAUUUUAGCUUAACCUGGGGUUAAGCUAACCCACCUUUGAACAACAGUCCCCUGGUCAACUUAUCAAUUCCAGGCCUCUUAGGAGAAUUCCUUACGCUUGUAGCUAAAUAACAAAACGUUUACAUUUCCUCCACAGGCUUUAUGGCUGAUAAAUAUCUUAAAAGACGAGAAAGACGAAUGGCAGAGCAUAAUCAACCGGUUCUCAAUCGGAAUGUAAAUGUUAACCAGCAAUACAACGGAAGAUAUUAGAAAGAAAAUCUGGAUGAUUAUAUGUUAUGAUAUAGCACUUUUGAAUUCUGAGCGCUGAUUGGCUAAAAGUCGUGUUGACGUAACUUAAUAUCAACAUGGAAAAUUUCACGGAGCUCUUAAAGUUUCUUCAAUUAAUAUUGUCCGGAUCCUUUAUACUUCUUGUACUAUCUUGUAAAAAAUAGGAAAUAUUUUCUGUGUUGAUAUUCAGUUAUAACAACACUCGUGAAAAUUGGAAAAAACUCAAUAACAGCAUACUAAGAAAUACUCCGACAGGUGCAUAUAUCAAGCGAGAAUAUACAACAGUAUGUUUUAUUUAACGCCCGGAGAGCGGAGUGUUUCCACACAAUUUCUCGUUUUCCAAUUUCCACUCGUGUUGAUAUAACCUUCUCCUUUUUCUAGGUGCGUAAUAUAGCAGCAGAGUUAACUAAAUAUAGCUAAUAUUUUUUUUCCUAAAAUGUUUUGCCAAUGCAUUAGGUUUAUUACGUAAUAAUUGUGCAGUAUAUUUGAAAGUAAACUUGCCAUAAUUAGUUCUAUAGUUACUUGAGUUCUACAAAUAUUUAGUUUAAAUGCAAGUCUUGUGUUGUAUAAUACGUAGUAAGCGAACAGGGUUAUUAAGAAAGUCAGAAAAUGCCAUGCAGCGUCGGAAUCAUGAUCACUAAAUUUAAGUAGAAGCAAAAAUUGCAGUUUUUCAUUUGAUGACAUUUUCUAGCUUAAGCAUGAUUCUGAGGAUAUUACAUCUCUCAUUUACUAAAUGGUGAUAGUAUUGCAUAGCUUAGUCAUCCAUAACUUAGCGCAGCUGCGAACACUCUCUCUGGUGACUGAAAAGACUAAUUCUCGAUCGGCACGGCUACACAGUAAAGCUUGAUUCCAUGCCAGGUACGUGCUGAUGUUGCUGCCUUGGCAGCAGCUUUCCUCUUCGCCCUCUUUGCUUCAGCUUGGACAUUGAGUUUUUUCUCUCCUGGUCGAAGAGCCUGGCUACACGUCUUCUUCCACUCGCUACAGUUUUCCGCAAGUGGUUCCUAUAGUUGUCGGGAGGUAGACCAGUGGCGGGCAUGUCUGUCUUGCAGACGUCGACCCUGAAUGGAAGCGUAGGUCUGCCAACAGGCCUCGACCAAGUUCUAGCUCCCCAUACAAUAUCUUCUUGGGGAUUCGGGCAUCGUCCAUUCGGCAAGGAAAACUAUUUUACAGUUUUCCUAAUGUCGCAGGGCCUUUUUUAAGGAUUUUCCCGUGGGGGGGGGGGCAUUUUUUGAAAAGGGACCUUUCCGCGAGAUAAUAUAUUACAGGGAAAUAGCAAUGGCUGAAGGCCACGUGUGCGCCGAACAUACCAUGGGGCACAAGGGGGGACUGGGGGGGAAAAUGCCCCCCCCAGCUUGUAUGUUAAAAAGGCCCUGUAAUGUCGUCGUCCGUAUCACUUCAAUUUGCGAAGAAUUUCAUGAGCCAAACUCAAAGCCUAUUGAAACCAGAUGAUGUGUUUUGUAAUAUGACCCUCUGUUAGUUCGAGGACUGAAAUGUCAGGGGGAAGGCACGUUUGUGAGAUCAUAACAAAUCAUGUGCUUGAUGUACCAUAUAAUCUUUGGAAUUCUGCAAAAUCUCAAUGCCAAAACGCUUGAAAUCGCAUUUCAGAGAAUGCCUCACGCCUUCGACGUUGGACUUAUGUUUGAAAAAUCAUAGAUCCGCCCCUGGUAGAUUCAUCUUAUAAUUAACAGUGUCCAGCUUUGAAUAGUAGUGUAAGUCUAUUCGUGAAUUUUAGUGACAUCAAAGUUUUACAUGUAACUUUCUAAAAUUUGUCUUUGAAAACGCUUAUUUGGCCGUUGAUGACGGCAGAACCAACCGAGCAUAGUCGCUUCGCGUUUACUCCUUUAUCUCCUCCACUUUUAUCCUUUUUCCUUUCCGUAUUUUAACUCUAUAUCCACUUCGUGUUUUAUCCUCCAUAUCUGUUCCGUCCGCCCGCUCCACGCCGAAUCCGCAUUUGCUAAAAAUGAAAUCCUGAUUGUGGGUAGACUCUAUAGCUGGCAUCGUAGAUAAAGUAAAUGAAGUUCAUAAAUGGUCAAAUGAUAACAAGUUUCAACUUAACCUUGGUAAAUGCAAAGAGCUAAGGAUAAACUUUACUACCCAACCAUUUACGCGAAUGAACCCCUAAAUAUAAACGGGGAGGCAUUUGAAGUGGCAAAAUCCACGAAAGUCCUUUGCAUGACACUUACCAGUGAUUUAAAAUGAAACAAGCAUGUAAGCAAUAUCGUGGAAAGGCUUCUAAACAACUUUAUUAAUUAAUUAAAAGCAAUUAAACUCACUGAAGUGGAAACUAGCUCCUUAUAUAAGUUCUAUACCGAGUGUAUUAGAUCAAUUGUUGAGUACGCUUGUCAAGUUUUUCAUUCAAGUCAUCCGAACUGCCUGUCAAGCGAAAUUGAAAGUAUCCAGGAACGAGAUUAGGGAUUAUUAACGCUGAUUUGGCGUAUAUCGAAGCAAUAAAACAGGCAAAGUUGGAGACAUUAGACGAAAGAAGAGAAAAGCUGUAUAUAAACCUAUUUUCAUCUAUCGAAGCAAAUAAUGUUCAUUGAUAAGAAAUUAAAGGAACUAAUGCCUCGAAAUAAUUCAGUGAUAAUUAAUUUCAGAACAAACAGAAAAUAUAAUCUUCCCAUUAAUUUAAGAUGCGUACGAACAGAUUUAGUAAUUCCUUAAAUAUUUCUUAUUGCGCUCGUAAGUCAUUUCAAAUUGUAGAUAAGUUUUAGAAUAAUUAAAUUCUCAAAUAUUUAGCAAUUAACAUUGCUUUAGAUUUUGGACAAUUUAUUAAUUACAAUAAUCGUUGUAUAAUAUAUUCUGUGCAUGCA
rnacentral:lncRNA from 1 species